rnacentral:rRNA from 1 species
UUACGGCCAUAUCACAUUGAAACGCCGGUUCUCGUACCAUCUCCGAAUUUAAGCAACGUGGAGCCUGGUCAGUACUUAGAUGGGUGACCGCUUGGGAAUACCAGGUACUGUAAG